rnacentral:rRNA from 1 species
GAAAGAGUGGGGAGCAGAACAAGACUGGAUACCUUGGUAGUGCAUCCAGUAAAUAAAUGAUGUCAACUAGGGGAGCGGGGAUCUUUUAGUGGGGCAGUAACGCAUGAAGAAGACCGCCUGCGGGAGUGAGGCCGCAAGCAAGAAACUAAAAUGAAUGAAUGGGGGCCCGCACGCACGAUGGAGCGUGUGGUUGAAUUAGAAGCAAGCAAAAGAACAAACCCUACCUACCCCUUACAUGCACUAACGAAGGAGAGAUGCGUUCGUUGGUCGACAGAGAAACAGGACACGCAUGGCGCUUGUCAGUUGUCAUCUCGAGUCGUGAGGUGAAGUGCUAAGUCCAGCACAACCCGCAACCCUAGUCUCCAGCAGGUACGAAAGGGCACUCUAGAGAGACUGCCGGUGACAAACCGGAGGAAGGUGGGGAUGACGUCAAGUCAUCAUGGCCCUUACGGCUAGGGCUUCACACGUCAUACAAUGGUGCGUACAGAGGGUUGCCAAGCCGCGAGGUGGAGCUAAUCCCAGAAAACCCAUCGUAGUCCGGAUCGCAGUCUGCAACUCGAGUACGUGAAGUCGGAAUCGCUCGUAAUCGCGGAUCAGCAUGUCGCGGUGAAUACGUUCCCGGGCCUUGUACACACCGCCCGUCACACCAUGGGAGUGGGCUGCACCAGAAGUAGCUUGCUCUAAACGCAAGGAGGGCGGUACCAUCGU